rfam:Micromonospora nigra strain DSM 43818 genome assembly, contig: Ga0070616_13
CUUGACCGAGCCGAGCAGGAGCGGUUCCCGGUCCUCCCGGCCCUGCCCGUACGUCGCCAACAGCGCCUGCGCCUC